AAUUUUGGACAAUGGGGGCAACCCUGAUCCAGCCAUCCCGCGUGUACGAUGAAGGCCUUCGGGUUGUAAAGCCCUUUUGGCAGGGAAGAAAAGGCCCGGGUUAAUACCUGGAGCUGCUGACGGUACCUGCAGAAUAAGCACCGGCUAACUACGUUCAUGCAGCCGCGGUAAUACGUAGGGUGCAAGCGUUAACCGGAAUUACUGGGCGUAAAGCGUGCGCAGGCGGUUCGGCAAGAAGGAUGUGAAAUCCCAGGGCUUAACCUUGGAACUGCAUUCUUAACUGCCGGGCUAGAGUAUGUCAGAGGGGGGUAGGAUUCCGCGUGUAGCAGUGAAAUGCGUAGAGAUGCGGAGGAAUACCGAUGGCGAAGGCAGCCCCCUGGGAUAAUACUGACGCUCAUGCACGAAAGCGUGGGGAGCAAAC
rnacentral:rRNA from 1 species